rnacentral:tRNA from 1 species
GGAGUAAUGGCAGAGUGGUCGAUUGCGGCAGCUUGCUAAGCUGUUAUAGCAGUAAUGCUAUCAAAAGUUCGAAUCUUUUUUACUCCG